rnacentral:misc_RNA from 1 species
GGGAGAUCUAUCUAAACAAUCUGUACCCAACCAUUCCAUUCACAACAGGAAAACAUUUGAAGGCACUAAAAACAACUGGAAGAUUUUUACUAAAGCCAUCUUGCUAUCAUACAUUUCCAGAGAGAAAUUUUAGAAAAUUUUGUAGAUGUACACAACUUUGUAUCCAAGGAUUAAGUAAGAGUUUAAAGAACACUUGACCUUUACUUCCUAACA